GAAUGAACUUGGUGUGGUUGUUGCUGGCCCUCUCGGGGGCAUGUGCACACCCACCAUCCUCAUCUCUCCACCUGUGCACCUCUUGUAGACCUGGAUAGACUUUCCGAGGCAACUCGGUCGGGAAGAUUGCUGCUCUCUCGUGGGCCAGCUUUCUUUGCAUGUCCAGGCCUAUGUUUUUCAUAUACCCCUAUAGAAUGUAACAGAAUGUAUCAUUGGGCCUUGUGCCUAUAAACCUUAUACAACUUUCAGCAACGGAUCUCUUGGCUCU
rnacentral:misc_RNA from 1 species